rnacentral:rRNA from 1 species
GAUGAACGCUGGCGGCGUGCCUAAUACAUGCAAGUCGAGCGAACAGACGAGGAGCUUGCUCCUCUGACGUUAGCGGCGGACGGGUGAGUAACACGUGGAUAACCUACCUAUAAGACUGGGAUAACUUCGGGAAACCGGAGCUAAUACCGGAUAAUAUAUUGAACCGCAUGGUUCAAUAGUGAAAGACGGUGUUGCUGUCACUUAUAGAUGUAUCCGCGCCGCAUUAGCUAGUUGGUAAGGUAACGGCUUACCAAGGCAACGAUGCGUAGCCGACCUGAGAGGGUGAUCGGCCACACUGGAACUGAGACACGGUCCAGACUCCUACGGGAGGCAGCAGUAGGGAAUCUUCCGCAAUGGGCGAAAGCCUGACGGAGCAACGCCGCGUGAGUGAUGAAGGUCUUCGGAUCGUAAAACUCUGUUAUUAGGGAAGAACAAAUGUGUAAGUAAAUAUGCACGUCUUGACGGUACCUAAUCAGAAAGCCACGGCUAACUACGUG